rnacentral:rRNA from 1 species
CAUGGUUAAGUGGGAAACGAUGUGGGAAGGCCCAGACAGCCAGGAUGUUGGCUUAGAAGCAGCCAUCAUUUAAAGAAAGCGUAAUAGCUCACUGGUCGAGUCGGCCUGCGCGGAAGAUGUAACGGGGCUAAACCAUGCACCGAAGCUGCGGCAGCGACGCUUAUGCGUUGUUGGGUAGGGGAGCGUUCUGUAAGCCUGCGAAGGUGUGCUGUGAGGCAUGCUGGAGGUAUCAGAAGUGCGAAUGCUGACAUAAGUAACGAUAAAGCGGGUGAAAAGCCCGCUCGCCGGAAGACCAAGGGUUCCUGUCCAACGUUAAUCGGGGCAGGGUGAGUCGACCCCUAAGGCGAGGCCGAAAGGCGUAGUCGAUGGGAAACAGGUUAAUAUUCCUGUACUUGGUGUUACUGCGAAGGGGGGACGGAGAAGGCUAUGUUGGCCGGGCGACGGUUGUCCCGGUUUAAGCGUGUAGGCUGGUUUUCCAGGCAAAUCCGGAAAAUCAAGGCUGAGGCGUGAUGACGAGGCACUACGGUGCUGAAGCAACAAAUGCCCUGCUUCCAGGAAAAGCCUCUAAGCAUCAGGUAACAUCAAAUCGUACCCCAAACCGACACAGGUGGUCAGGUAGAGAAUACCAAGGCGCUUGAGAGAACUCGGGUGAAGGAACUAGGCAAAAUGGUGCCGUAACUUCGGGAGAAGGCACGCUGAUAUGUAGGUGAAGUCCCUUGCGGAUGGAGCUGAAAUCAGUCGAAGAUACCAGCUGGCUGCAACUGUUUAUUAAAAACACAGCACUGUGCAAACACGAAAGUGGACGUAUACGGUGUGACGCCUGCCCGGUGCCGGAAGGUUAAUUGAUGGGGUUAGCGNGCGAAGCUCUUGAUCGAAGCCCCGGUAAACGGCGGCCGUAACUAUAACGGUCCUAAGGUAGCGAAAUUCCUUGUCGGGUAAGUUCCGACCUGCACGAAUGGCGUAAUGAUGGCCAGGCUGUCUCCACCCGAGACUCAGUGAAAUUGAACUCGCUGUGAAGAUGCAGUGUACCCGCGGCAAGACGGAAAGACCCCGUGAACCUUUACUAUAGCUUGACACUGAACAUUGAGCCUUGAUGUGUAGGAUAGGUGGGAGGCUUUGAAGUGUGGACGCCAGUCUGCAUGGAGCCGACCUUGAAAUACCACCCUUUAAUGUUUGAUGUUCUAACGUUGGCCCCUNAUCGGGGUUGCGGACAGUGUCUGGUGGGUAGUUUGACUGGGGCGGUCUCCUCCUAAAGAGUAACGGAGGAGCACGAAGGUUGGCUAAUCCUGGUCGGACAUCAGGAGGUUAGUGCAAUGGCAUAAGCCAGCUUGACUGCGAGCGUGACGGCGCGAGCAGGUGCGAAAGCAGGUCAUAGUGAUCCGGUGGUUCUGAAUGGAAGGGCCAUCGCUCAACGGAUAAAAGGUACUCCGGGGAUAACAGGCUGAUACCGCCCAAGAGUUCAUAUCGACGGCGGUGUUUGGCACCUCGAUGUCGGCUCAUCACAUCCUGGGGCUGAAGUAGGUCCCAAGGGUAUGGCUGUUCGCCAUUUAAAGUGGUACGCGAGCUGGGUUUAGAACGUCGUGAGACAGUUCGGUCCCUAUCUGCCGUGGGCGCUGGAGAACUGAGGGGGGCUGCUCCUAGUACGAGAGGACCGGAGUGGACGCAUCACUGGUGUUCGGGUUGUCAUGCCAAUGGCACUGCCCGGUAGCUAAAUGCGGAAGAGAUAAGUGCUGAAAGCAUCUAAGCACGAAACUUGCCCCGAGAUGAGUUCUCCCUGACUCCCUGAGAGUCCUGAAGGAACGUUGAAGACGACGACGUUGAUAGGCCGGGUGUGUAAGCGCAGCGAUGCGUUGAGCUAACCGGUACUAAUGAACCGUGAGGCUUAACCUU